UCCUCCGUCCACCCUGCCAUUUCUACCUUCUCCCUCAAACCGCUCCUCUCUCUCCACCCUUUCCCCAGUCCGCAUCCGCAUCACCAAUAGAUCUAUCGUCCCACGCGACCUUCUGUGCCAGAUCUACCAUGGACCAUGGCGCACUCGUCUUCCUCAGCGGUGUUGGUUCCUCACCAGAAACAGGACGACAUCGCGCCCCUCCCGCUGAUUCGAUGCCCAAGUGCAACCUAGGAGUCACACAUCCUGGUACGCAUUUGUACAAGUGCCAAUUCCAUGGAGUAGGCAUCUUUUCCGGUCAAAAACUCUACCAACAGUACAUUGAUUUGCAAACCUGGAAUGGAUAGUUAGUUGUUUGUCUCUGGUAAUCUGGUUCUAGCCUCGUAACUCUAUAUUGAUUUGUAUGUAUACACUAGUACUAUCAGUCAAAUAUCAAAUAUCAUCUGUCAGAUUUCUUAUUUAUGAGACUUAUUCUGUUUAUUGGCCAGCUGUUACUGGUCAAGUUUAUCUAUUUUAUUUUUUUGAGAAAGGUGGCCAAGUUUAUCUAAUACAUCAGGUUCCAAAGUAGCCACUGCUAGGAGUGUCGUGAGUUUAGGAUCCAAUACAAGGAUACAUAUAGCAGUGAUUUGUCUGUGACUGUCCAAAUGAGUUGCUGCUAGGAGUGGCUUGAGUUUAGGAUCAGUAGUUGGAUCCCUUCGCAGUCAGAUUUUCAGGAAUAUACUACCAUAAUAUGAUGAUAAACAUAUUCUUUAGAUGCUUUCGGGAAACACUACUACGCAUUGCAGAAAUGGUGAAAUAGUUCCAGAGACACUGUUUCUCUCGAAAUGUCCAUAUUUGCUCCACUGUUAGUGUUCCAUUUAUUACAUUGUUUAUUCUUCUGAUAAGAGUCGGAUUUGUAUGUUAUUUGACCUAUGCAUUGGGCAUGCUCCAUUUUAUUUUAUCUAUGCAUUGGACUUGCUCAAUUUCGGUCCGAUGGUCAAAUAUUAGUGUUCUGAAUUAAUUUUAGUUUAGCUGUUCCUGGAGUAUGGCACAUAAUUUUACAGUAUGCUUUUGAUUGGGUUAAGUUUCUUACUCCCUCCGUCCCGAAAAAAGCUGCGUGGGCUCUAUUCAUUUUGCAAAUUACAAAUGAACCCUCGUAAAACCAAUCCAUUACAAAUCUAGCUAGAUUCAAGAUUAGAAAUUCCGUCCAUGCCGGCCGCGAUCUCCGCCGGCCGCGCCAGCCGCGACACCUGUCCUCCCGCCCGCCCACGAUCAGCUCCUGAUCCCACGCGUGCGAUCGUAGGAUUGGAUCAGCUAGCUGGAUCCCACGCCUAGGAUCGCAUCGCCUCCGCCUGCGACCAGCUUCUGCUCUCCGGAGGCCUGCGCAACUCCCUCGCCGUCGCCGCUCGGCCGCAGUCCAAAGCUCCGGCAGAUCGUCGUCUUCUUCCUGCUCCGGCUCGCCUCCGACCUCUCCCAGGACGCCGAUCGACCGCUCCGCCAAGGAGGCCGCAGAUCAUCCAACCACUCCGGCAGCACAAAAAGCUAUGGCAGAUCGUCACAGAACCUCCCUCCUCGUCUUCACCGGCAGAUCCAGCAGCUCUCUGUCUCGCAUGUGCUGCGCAGGUCGAUGAGGAGAGCUCCAGCAGCUUGUCUGCAACCGCCGCCGCCAUGCCCCAUGUUUCGCUGGCAGCCACCGGCAAUGGCAGAACCUCGCCGCAUUCAUGUCGGUCACCUUUGUUCUGCCCAUCGCGUGUGGGAGCUGCUCCGGGAAGCCCACCUCGCCGCGCCUUUUCGUGUGGAUACUGUACCUUGUCAACCAGAACAAGAAGUAGUGAACAGAAAAAUACCAACCUGAAUAAUGGCUAGCAAUGUUCAUUUUAUACUGGAGAGGAGAACAUAAAUAUUACAGAGACAGAUACUAAUGCAUUUAGUUGUCCUUUAGCAUUACCAAUUCCAAUUCACCGAAACAUGAAGCAAUAUGAGUCUAUGGCUCUGUUGAAACAAGUGUGAACAUACUCUGCACUUCAUACUGGCAAAUAACACUAUCCACUGUGGAGCAACAAUUUAGCUACAGUAUGAGUAAAUUAACGGAACUGAAGCGGUUUUUGUUGGAGUAUGCUAAAUGCACUAGUAGAAUAGAAACAUGGGAAGGAGAUCUUCUGUUAACAAAUUGUAAAAUUCCACAUCAUUGGCAAGGUACGCAGCUAUUAUGAUGCUACUACUGCAUAAGUGAAUAUAAAUAUACUCAUAGCCAGCAAAGAUGCAUUUAUCAAGCAGACAAACAUAGCCAGCAAAGAAAUUAAGUGUCAUGAACCCAUCAAAUCGCAAACAAUGUCCAAUCGCAAACAAUGUGUGCUGCUGCUGUAUCAAAGAAACCUUGGUGCGUUUCAGAUUCUUCACCUUACCUGAACACCCAUAUCCUAAUCCCAGCCUUCAUCAGCAUCAUGUACUUCGGCAACGUGGAUAAUUCAGAGUAUUUCCAUGUUUUGAUUGAUUAGUGCUCCCACCUUACCUAGAAGAUAGCAAAUUGUUAGGGCCACCAAGAUAUCCGAUGGAUCCAUAGCUGCAAUUGACCAAUCUUUUAUGCCAUCUGUGGACAACCAGAUCACCUACAUUUGCGUCGGAAAUAUCUUCUAUGCCAUCUCAAUGGAAGCAGGAAGCAGCACCUUAAUCUUUGACCUUGAAUGUUACAGCAUUUGGAUUGGAUCUGUGUUUUUUAUUUCUUUUUUCCAUGCUAGAUCAUUCACAGGACAAGGUGCAGACAUGAUUAAACUUUUGUCUCUAACCAAGCAUUUUUUUUCCCCAUCAUGCAGUGAACCAGUGAAGCAUGUUUUUCAGAGAUGAUUAAAUUCAUAUUGUUUCAGGUCAAUAACUACACUGUCUGUAACAUAGUCUGUUGCGUGGUUUGUUCAACAUACAUGGAUACUGGUUCCAACUUCCAAGUCUACACAAGUAAGCAGGGAUACUGGUUCCAAGUGCAAGAGAAACAUCCUGCUAAAGCUAAACUCAUUGAAUCAUCUACAGAUUUAUCUUUGUCAUGAGUAUGCAACUUGUAUUUCCAUGUUGGAGUAUAUGCAAAGUAUAUGGUGGAAUUGAAAGGAACCUAGUGCUGGGAGCGUGGCCACUCACAGGGCGAUCUAGAUGGCGCCGACGAGCGGGACGGAGCAAAGAAGAGGCCGCAGGCGAGCCCACCGCCUGCCGGAUCCAGUACAGCGCGUCCAGCAGCUGGUCCCCAUCCCCAGCACCAACUGCGUCAAGAUCCCACGUCCGUGUGCUGGGAGCGUGCUACUUCGCCGGCGACUGCGGUAGUAUCUGUCUCGGACACGGCUUCGAGGCCCUUUCCAGCGGGGAGCAGGUGGGGGAGGGGGCGCCGGAAGUAUGGCCGCGAGAGGCGCUGCUGCCCUCGACCUCCUCCAACAGUGGAUCCGGUAACCCCGCCACCGGAUCCGGCAACGCCGCCAUCGUAUUGGACCCCUCAACGAAGGUCAAAAUUUUGAUCUUUGUUACCAGGGACCGGUUGCGGCGAGACUAAGGGAGGAAGCAGCUAGGCGAGGGGAUGGAGGCGGCAAUGCGAGGGGACGGAGGCGGCGAAGUGAGGGGCGGUGACGGCGGCGGCGAGGUGAGGGGGCGGCGACGGCGAGCCGAGGAGACGGCGGCGGCGCAGGCGCUCCGUCGCGCGAGACGGACGAUGAGGCGAAGUAAGCGAGACGAACACGAUGGGAGGUUAGUGGAGGGACUGCGGGCUUCAGGUGAAAAAGGUCAGGGGUUUUUCUGCAAAACCUCCAUGGCGCAGCUUUUUCCGGGACGGAGGGAGUAGAAGUUACAACUAAAGGUGUAAUAAUUUAGAAUCAAAUUUGACAGACUUUGUGUUUCUCUGCUUUUCUGCAGGGACAAAUGUCAGUGCCGGUGAUAGAACAUGCAGAGACUAUGGCGAGAGGGAAAGCGAAAUCUGGGGGUUUGAGUGACCGGAAGAUCAAGUGUGACCAUCGUCUGGAGUACAUGUAUGGCUGGGAUGGCCGAUUGUGCAGGACAUUUUGGUCACCUUGAGCUCGCAAAGCCAAUGUUCCAUAUUGGAUUCAUUAAGACUACUUUCCAUAAAUGCGCUGUGUGUGCUUCAACUGUUUCAAUAUUCUGGUGGAUGAGGCAAUUCUUACCGGAGGCAGGAGAGAAGUAGCAGUUGGGUGGCCGGCGGGGGCUCUGCUUGCCUCUAGCGGCGCGGGGGCAGCGGGAUGGCGAUGGACCAGUCGACGGCAACGGGAAGAAUUCAACUUGAUAUUCGAUUCUGAAUUCAAAGGCUAUGUAUUCCCUCAAAAAGGUUAGCUGGCUGAAGAGGAUUGAUAAGAUGAAGCUACAGCCAAUUAAUUCUCUGUAUGAGAAAUUCAGUUCGAGCAACUGGAAGCAAGCCACAGUUAAAGAGGCACCGCAAUUUGUGUCUGGAAACCUGUAUAUUUCAAAAAAAAAAAGUAGCUCGAUUUAAUGGGGGAUAGAAGGAAUGGAACAGUGGAUCGCAUUUUCGAAUGUUCUUCAUGUGAAUAUACGACUUCUUAUCUCCGAAACUGAAUCUUCUAGCUGCAGACUUGCAGUCUAUCUACAGUACUUAUUGCAACUUUGCAAGUAGUUCAAGCUUUGGCAUUUACAUGGUUUAGUUAACAGUUC